UCUCUUCCAAAUGAGACCACAGCAAAUAAGCAGUAACACUCAGUGACAGAAUGUGCUGUUGAGGACAAAUCAGCCAUAGGGAGUGAUGAGAACAGGUUCCAGAUGAAGUAAGCAGAGGUUCUCAGCAGCAGGUGGAUGCUGGAGGCUCUGGCUGGAACUUCUCUACGUCACAUCCAGGAGAUUGAACUGUUGCUUUCAGGAAUCCAUGGUUGGAAACGUGCAGGAAAACUACUGUGGAAAGUAACUUGCAGCUGCUUGAUGCCAUGGUUCCUAGCACUCUAAGCAAUGUGCUCCAGGGUGGUGUGGAAUUAACAUCUGAGAGACUGAGAUGAUAUCCCUGUAGAUCCUGUCUGCACUCUGAGCCUGACCUGCUUCAGUCUGAACGUCUCUGGUAUUUUGCAGGGUGAAGAGAGGCAUGAGUAGUCCUGGCAGUCUUUACAGCAUGAGCUGUGUUGCUUUGAGUGAAAUGCAGUCAUUACAGAGGGAAUGACACUUGGGGCUCCUGGAGCUGGCCCAGCUCUGCACUGGUUCCUCAGAGGCAGUUCUGAGCUACUGUCCUGUCUUUAGAGGAAAAUGGAGGGCCUGAGAGGAUUGCCUGGGGGUUCAGUAAGGCAGUGGCAGGUGGCUUUAUAAGCUGUCUUUCAUCCAAGAAACUCAGCUACCCUUAUGUCAGAGGCUAUUCACAUCCUGUAUGGGCAGGACUGUCUUCUCGCUCAUCUCUGGUGGCUCCUGUUGUCUCUCCCUCAUGCUGUGUUUCAGCCAUGGUGUAAUGUAUGGCUGAAACCCCCUUCUAGCUUCCUCCUGCUGAGCUCUCUUUGCUGUGCUGACCCUGUACCUGGCCUAGGUGCCAGCAAACCCACCAGUAAAUUCUAUAGCUCCCUGCUCUGAUGUAAUAGCAUUGCUUGGAGUGGGAAUUUGCUGUCCAAGAGUGGCAAGGUUUCUGGCCCUGUAAAAUGGCUUGGCUGUGUUCAGCAAUUUCCCUUUCCUGGCUCUUAAUUUAUUCAGAGCAGCAAGCCAAAUAGACUCAUAGGCACAAUCGAAACAUGGGAUAAAUAUUCUGAGUGGCUUGAUCUAUAGGAACAAGCACAUGGGGGAGGGAAUGAGUUCAUCUCCUCUGUGCUCCUGGCAGGGCUGUUCCUACAUCUCCUGUGUGCUGCAGUGGGGUGAUAAGCUGGUUGCAGGGAGGAUGUACUGUCCCUUCCCUGGAAGAAGAGACUCAUCUGAGCCUUCCUCUUGGGAGCAACCCUUGGUAGGCAGCUAAAAUUUUCCUUUUCCUCUCAUCCCAUGACUGCUAGGGAAUAUCCAGCCCCUUGCAUUGUCCAGAAUAAUUCCACUGUCCAGAGGGUUGGUGUGUUUCAGCAUCUGUAGGGUGGCUCUUCCCUGCAAUUUCCCUUUUGGCUGCUUUUUCCCAGGUUGGUGCCUCCAGCCCCUAAUGAUUUCUUUUGUUCUUGGAGCAGCAGGUUCAUGCAACUUCUCUGUAAGCAUGUUUGUGUAUUAAACAGGGGUAGGGAAGGAGCAGAAAUGUUCUUCAGUCCAAAAACAUCGCUGGUAACAGAGCAAAAAGUAGAUCCUACAACCCUGGUUUCAAAGGUGUCUUAACUUGUUUUCUAAAGCUAUCUCCAGACUUUCCAGGUCUGUCAGUUCCAUUUUAGAAAACCUGAAGGUUGUCACUACUCGUGACAACUCGUCUGUCUACCCGUCUGUCCCAAACAGACGAGCAAAACUGGUGUGAGCUGAGGUGCAGUGAUUGGGAUCAGCCGUUGCAAAAGGCACCCCAUGAAAGGUGACAGGAUAACAUAUCAUUCCACAAAAGAUUUUGAUCUUCUGGCACAGACACGAGGAGAAGAGUGAACAAGAACUACGUUCAGAGGUCAUCCUGGUUUUGAGAGAGGAAACAACUCAUUUCUGAUGGGAAGUAUUUUGGAUUUCACUUGCUUUCUAUUGCUGUCUGUUUCCCAGCUCAGACAACUGCUCUGUUCUUCAGUGUGCUUGCCCAGAGCUGUUGUAUACGACUGUUAAACAGUGUUUAAACAGCCAUAAGCCUGUUUAUUUACUGAGGCUAUAAAUUAUCUUGAAAUCGGAAUUCAUCAUACUGCAAAUACCAUGUUUCAACAAGCAAGCUGGCGCUCUGCUAGAAUUGCAAUCUAAUAGCCCUCCUCGCUGCUCUGCCAAGUUGCUGUCAAGGGCAAGUGUCCUUGCACGGGUAAUUGCUGCCUUACAGAGAUCCUGGUAGACUCAGAGUUGAUGCCUUUGGGUUUAUCUGCUGGUGUAUCAGGGAAUAUUGUGGUCGGUCAGUGCAGGUCUCUGAUGGCUGCGGCGUGUGUCAGAGUUAACUCGCGCUUGUCAGGGUUUGCCAUUAAAUGAAUGGGCUAUCCAGUCAGUAUCUUCCAGGCAUCAACACCAGUUGUUUCCAGGAUGUGUGAAAAGCUGAUGAUAAUCAAGGAAGGAACUUUUCCCAGUGGGAUUUUCUUCCUCUCUCCAGGUGGUAAUAGGUUACUGUUCCUGGAGCAGGCAGCUCUUAAACAGCAAAGCCAGUAGCAUCCUGUACAGUGUUGCUGGGUAUAUUUCUUUGAUUAUUUGCUCUCCUGAAGCUGUUGAUGUUGUGAGUGACUAAAAGGAUCUGUCUGAAAACACCUGAACUCGACACUUGCACUGUACAAAGUGUGAAUUUAUUGUCAGAUAAUAUUUGUCUGAAGUGUUUCAUCUUGGAGAUUCAACCAGUCAAUAUUAACACCCAUCAAAAGCAGCUGCUGUGCCCUGACUGUUGCACAGAGUGUAGGUUUUCCUGUAGAUGCUGACAUUUCUACUCACCUCAAGCUGAGUGUGGUCCUGGUGGUCCAGGUCCUGACUGCUGCUGCAUGAGCUGUGUUGAUUGGGUUGGCUCAUUCUGUGGCAGGUUGAUAGCAACAACCACUCAUCUACUUACCUGUUCUGUACUGUGUGAGUUGCUUUCACGCUUCUGGAACCAUGCGAACUGGAGAUGGGAAAGAUCUGAGGUCAUCCAACUUCUCCAUUUUCCCCACAAUAGGGAAGGCUUGUUCCCUUCCACUAAUUUUUCCUGUACUUGGUCCAGUUUUAAGUGACUCAAGCAUCAGAGCUUUUUUUUUGCUUCCCUUGGGAGGCCUGGUGGAUUUCUCACUAUGAGAAAUGUUUUCCUCAUUUUUCCACCUGAUCUGUUCCUCUCCCAGAUUCCACAGUGGAAGAGAGCAUAAAGCUACAGUGGGUUAAUGCUCAUCAUGUUAUUGGAGAACUGGUUAACUCUUCUGGUGUCACUUUGAUGUUUGUCCUGAAACGAAAAGGCUUUGGAUAGGAGAACAUCAUGAUAUAGGGACAAGUGUCUCAAAGACUGGCAGGCAUUGAUAGUUGGGGUAGUUUGAGCACCAAGGCCUGUUGGUCUUCCUGGAAAUUAGAGGUUUGUGGAAAGGCUUCUUCUAUAGCCUGUAAGCAUAUCUCCAAAUGGUGAAAAUGGGAAAGAUUACCCUUGGAAUGUUGAACUAAAUGGCAAACUGAACAUAUGGCAAUAGCUGUUCUUUACUCUUGGCUUUGCUUGUGCCUAGCACUUAGUCGAGAAUCCUGCUUUUUCUUAACAAUCUGAGGAUUUUCCCAUGGUUUGCUUUCUUUGCUUAUCCUCCUGCGCUGCCAAUGCUGUGUAACCAGUAGCUCAGCUAAUGCUGAAGUCGUUCUUAAAACAUCAUCUGCUAAAUAGAUGGGUUAUGAUGGGAUAAAGCUACCUUCCAUGAAGGAUGGGUGGGAUCAGGCCUUGGAGAUGCUGUCAAAUGGGAGCCAGUAUGAGAAGGGGCAAGUAAAUAUUUAACGUGUAGUUGUGCAAGGGACAAGACUAAAAUAAAAUGUGAUAAAGGCAGAAAUGUUAAGGGUGGCACUUGGUAGUGGUUGGGAGGUGUGUGGUAGUGCAAUACAUUGUGUGAUGGGGAGCUUUGUUUUCUGUCAGGAGUCACCCAGGAGGCUGCUUCAUGCUUUACCCGAAUUGACAGAAGGCUGUUUGACACCAUUCUCUGCUGUGGUUUGACCAGAGGUAGUGGAUGAUCUUUCACUCGCAUCUCUUGUGGUGAAACAGAGGGCAGCUGGUGGGUCUGUGGUCCCUGCAGCCCAGUGCUGCAUGCCAGCCCUGCUGCUUUUUGUGUCCUUGGAAAGAAAAGCUGCCCUGCUCUGAUGAGAACCACAGCCAUGCCACUUGUGUGGUGGCAAAGCCCAAGAACGUGACUAAUUGGUAACAUAAAGAACCACCUUCCGUGCAGCCUGAUUCACCCGAUUCCUUACACAGACUCACUCUUUCCAUCAAGGAAUAUUUGAUAAUGCAGCGCACACUGCUGAGAUCACCCUUCUGGCAAAUGCCUGCUGUGGUAUGAGACCCAGUCAUCUGGCAGCACAUUGCUUACUGCAGUCUCCACGGCAACCCUCCAUGCUGUUCUUCUUUGGAAGCUCUGCGCAUUCGUAAAGAAGCUGUCAUCCCUCUUACUGUAAGUGCAGCAGAUGUGAAAGAUUUCACCUGUGCCAAUGAACCCCAGGAUGCUGCUGCUCAGAGGGGCAGUGCUGCGUUAGGUAUAAAGCUCCUCUCUGGAAGGCACUGUCCAUCCACUUGCAUGGCAUUACAAAAUGUCUCCUGCUUUGUGCUCUGAGCCUUUUAACGUGCCUGUAGCCAACAGUGUUUGCACAAAGAGACUGGGCUGCUGUGAGGAUUGCAGAAGACCUCUUCUGAGGCACAGCCUUGCAGUGCUGACGUCUGCCACAAAAAGAAUUCAUUUCGGAAGCCUGGUCCCAAGGUGGAUUGAAUGGUCCUGCACUAAAAUGUGAAUGCUUCUGGUAUGGAAACAACUGAACUGCAGUGUGGACCCUCGUGUUUCAAAGAGGCUUCUCUGUUUCUUCUGAGCUGCCAGUUGUGUUGAUAAGGAGGAGCAGCCAUCUUCUGUGUCGUGGAUGCUGAACCUGGCUGUUCAGAGGGGCAGUUGUCUGCCUCCACUGUCCCAUCAGCAGUCCUCUGGGGAGAGGCUGUAAAUCAAAUAGGGUGGAUGUCUUCUCUUCUGCAAUAGGUAGGCCUGGUGUAUUUCAGUGCUAAUAGAUAGAAAUCCACUUUAUCAGUGUUAUGCUGGCCAAUACUAGAACUCAGUCUGGAGCUGUAAGGUUUCAGGUUUAUAUUUUCUCUUACGUCUGUUUUUCUGACUGCUCUAAUGCUCGUGCAGAAAUCAAGGACUGGUGCUUUCUUCUUGCUAAGGGUAUUGCAAGUCUUUGGGGUGAGCAAGGUAGGAGGGAAAAACUCCAUGCUCUGAGCAUGGAAAGGACCACGCUUCCUUGCCUCCCUUGGUAGAUGAUGCGUACACCUGGACCAGAAGAAUUGUUCAUCUUCAAAAUGGGCAUCUGACUUUAUUCCUGGUUGUGGUGGUGGUGUUUUUCUUUAGGGUCAUCAACAUACAGCAAGAGACUCCUCUUCUUGGAGGAAGCCCAAGCCGCCAUCUCAGAAGAGCGGCUGAACCAUAUAACAGCUGAAGUUAAAACAAGGCGACUGCAAGACCUGCCUCUGCCAAAGCAUCUCGUGUUCCCUGUGGGUGACAGUGAGCUCUUUAUUUAUAAAACUGCUGUCACUUUUAUUUCCCACUGUGAGCUCUGAGAGGGAUAGCAUUAGGUUAGGUGAGAGCUCUGGUUUGCUGUGCAGGAGGUUUACUUGUCUGCCCUGUGUUGAGUGGCAGCUGCUGGAAAGCCCUCCCACAGAGUGUUCAGCUUUUGCCUUUCUGUCAGUCUGCUUCUGAAUCUGGGCAGCUCACCUCUGUCCCUGCUUUGCUGUCUCAGCCCUGGGUUUCUCCUGAGAUGGCUGCCAACUGUGCCAGACAGCUGGGAUGCACGUGUUCAAUCAGGUGCUUUCUGUGAACUCUGUAGCUUCUGCCAUAUCUGUCAACAGUGUCACUUGACAUUCCCCAAAGGCUGGAGGGGAGGCGAGGUGUCUUCCUCUUGCUCUAACACUUGUGCUGCAGAAGAUAAGGCCUACUCUGCCCAUGAUCUGAGGAGCCCCAGUCCAGGAGCAUCAGCUAGGUUGGAGCUGCUGAUCACAGAAACGAAGGAGGACCAAUUUGUUAAGAGCAGUGAGCCUACAGCCAUCCAAAGUAAUUCAGGGCAGAUGAUGCUUAGUGCAGAGCCUGCCGUGGUGAUAGCUGAGAACGAGCACUCAUCUGUGCUGCCUGGAGUGGUUUGAGUGCUGCUGGUCUAGAAGACUUCGAUCUACUCUGUGGAGGAAAGGCUCUGUAGCAGCCUGGGUGGGUGCUGACAGUGAGACAACCAAGAGAGGAUUUGCCUGCACUGGACCAGGAUCCCACCCAGCAGUAGCAUUGGACAGAGGGUCUGCACAGAGGGAGAAGUGAGGCACAGGCCCUCCCCUAUGAGCCCUAGCAGCUGUGCUUCUGGCACACCCUGGCCAAUGCAUCACCUUGCCAGCCACAUCUGCCUCUGCAGCACUCUGGUGGGAAGCUGUUUCCAGCACUGCCUGUGACAGCACCUCUUCUAGUACAGCACAAAGGAGCUGUGCCUCUCUGGACUGGAAUGGGCUGGGGGCCUGAGGAUGCCCAAAGCUGCAAGUCAGAGCCUGGUGCAGCUGCUGAGAUAGGGAAGAGGUAAAGGGUGUUGGAGUACUUCCAUUUGUGACGCUCAGCCUCCUCCUUGGACAGCUAUUCACAUGGAAAUGAGUUUGGGUUGGAGGGUCUGUGCUGCAGAUUUCCUAGAAGAGGAAUGGUUACCCAGAAGCCCAUGAAGAACCACCCAGACCAGGGGCCGAGCUGUGGGAACACCCCUCCCUGUCCCUGGAAUCUCCCUGUGAGGAUGAAGUCAUUGCUGUAUGAUGGGUGCUGCACAAUGCAG